rnacentral:rRNA from 1 species
UACGUAGGGGGCUAGCGUUGUCCGGAUUUAUUGGGCGUAAAGAGCGUGUAGGCGGCCAUGUAGGUCCGGUGUGAAAACUCGAGGCUUAACCUCGAGAUGUCAUCGGAAACCAUUUGGCUAGAGUCCGGAAGAGGAGAGUGGAAUUCCUGGUGUAGCGGUGAAAUGCGCAGAUAUCGGGAAGAACACCAGUGGCGAAGGCGGCUCACUGGCCCGGUACUGACGCUGAGGUGCGAAAGCGUGGGGAGCAAACAGG